AUUGAACGCUGGCGGCAUGCCUUACACAUGCAAGUCGAACGGUAACAGGUCUUCGGAUGCUGACGAGUGGCGAACGGGUGAGUAAUACAUCGGAACGUGCCCGAGAGUGGGGGAUAACGAGGCGAAAGCUUUGCUAAUACCGCAUACGAUCUCAGGAUGAAAGCAGGGGACCGCAAGGCCUGGCGCUCACGGGGCGGCCGAUGGCAGAUUAGGUAGUUGGUGGGAUAAAAGCUUACCAAGCCGACGAUCUGUAGCUGGUCUGAGAGGACGACCAGCCACACUGGGACUGAGACACGGCCCAGACUCCUACGGGAGGCAGCAGUGGGGAAUUUUGGACAAUGGGCGCAAGCCUGAUCCAGCCAUGCCGCGUGCAGGAUGAAGGCCUUCGGGUUGUAAACUGCUUUUGUACGGAACGAAAAGACUUCUUCUAAUAAAGGGGGUCCAUGACGGUACCGUAAGAAUAAGCACCGGCUAACUACGUGCCAGCCGCCGCAGUAAUAC
rnacentral:rRNA from 1 species